rnacentral:siRNA from 1 species
CGGGGGAAGCCGAAAGGCCA